rnacentral:lncRNA from 1 species
AGCAUAUCCGGCACGUGCACAGACCCGCCAUACACCUGCAGUAUAUAAGGCGUCUACGAGAAGUAAGUCGAUAGGAAGUAAAACAAGAGAGUCCUAUCCUGAUAUCAGAGCAAAGUACAAGUCGAUAUACAACGAGUAUCCAAUCCGAGUCAAAAUCCAAAGUGUAUACAAACCAUGAUCACAGCAAAAAGAGAAGUAACACUACUAUCAUCUCAACCCCGAAAGUAAAUAUACAUCACGGGUGUACAAAAAGAAUAGAUACAAUGGUGGUCUCUCUAUAUAUAUAUGGACAUCACCCUCGGCCGUAGCCCGAGUAGCAAGGUGAUCGACUAGCACGCUCCUAGUAGUCCCUAGCUAGGCGCGACUCCCUUGCCACGAUCCCUAGCCUCUCCUGUAACAGGCUCUGUAAAAACAACCACCAAAAGGGCGUGAGAACUAUUAACAAUAGUUCCCAGUGGGUAAGCCGCCAGCCUCGGCGAAUUACACCACUAGGCUCGAGAUGUACAGAAUGGAAAUAAAAGCAGUAAUUUGCAUGAUAUAUUUUCAAUGCUAACAAUUCAUAAGCCAAUGUUAACAAAUAAUGAACAUGUAAACAACAUGUGAUCAUAGCAUCAACAGUAAUGAAUUAACUGAAUGAUAGAAGCAUGGCUACUACUAUAAGCAUAAACGUAGCAUAAGUGUGUAAGUAACUACUGUACACUGUAACUGGUAAUUAUUCGUUACUGUCCAAUUUUCCUUUAGCACUUUCCUUUCAUUCACAGGGAUCUACUCAAGGUAGCCCAGCUUGCGCCGCGCCUAAUGGCCCCGUGGUAGUAUACACUCCCCACGGCAAUCCACUUCGGCACCCAAUCCCGCACGGGCGAGCAACUGUCGCGUAGGCCAACUCCGGAGUGCCGGCUUGUAGGGAGCUACCCUCACAAGCGUGUGCGAAUGAGCACGAUGGCAAGCAAGCAAAGUCCAUUAUCCACAUGUCUCAAUUUUCAUAUUUUCACAUACAAAGUUCAGAACCCUCGAUCCUCUGAUCGGAAUAUCAAUACACAAAUAGUAACAAAAGCUAGUAUCCACUAGAUUGUAAACAUGUAAGGGUAAAGCUAAAUCACAUAGCAUUAUAAUCUUUCCACUAGUAUGGCACUAUCAACAUAGUCAUGAGCAUGUCAUAGUUCCCUAUGUUAGAGUCAAGAGAAUGUCAUGGUUCUCUACAAAGUCACGAGAAUAUCAUUGUUCUCCACUCUACUAAAGCAUCAUUAGUAUGUCCAUUAGUUAUCUUAACUAAAUACGAACAUAAACAUAGGCAUAAAGACACUUAUGCAUGAGUACUCUCUACUUCAUAGAGGUUCUAUUCAAUCAUAUGUAUACAUAUCAACACUAUAAUAUAGUGACUCGUCUCAAAUUCUGUAUCAAUCACAAAAACAUACAACUGUAUCAAUUCUAUAGUA